AGAUCUGCCUUCUUUGACAGACAGAGGGCUUUGAAACUCAAAUGGGGCAAGGAAAGAGACAGAGAGUGGGUGUUUGUGAAAAGCCAGGAACCACGGGCACACUGGCCCCACGCUGGCGGGAUUGCUUCUACAGGAUCUGCAAAAGUAUUGCUGUAAGGAUGGAGAGAGAGAGGCAUUCUUAAAGCACUGAUGAAACGCAGAGAAUUGUGGCUGGUUGUUAGAAUAUACUGCGGAGACGGAUGAAACAAAAUCGGCAAAAUGCUGAUCACUGUAGACGCUGGGAGAUGGGUACGGCACAAGGAGAGUCACUAAGCUCUUCCCUCUAGUUUUGUGUAUGUUUAAAAUUUUCCCAACUAAUAU
rnacentral:lncRNA from 10 species